GGAAACUGCAGAAGAAAUAUGUAAAAUUUAUAGCUGAAACAGCAUGUAAAAUUUAUUUUUUUGAAGGACACAAAUAGGGCCAUUUUUUAGGCCCGUUUAAACUGUAACAUAGCAUUGCUGGGCCGAUGUUGUUGGAAAUCACGAAGUGGACGGAGAGCACUCAGUGAGUCAGUGAGUGGCUUUCGUGUUCUCUCACGAAAAAUAUAAGUGAGUGGAUAGAGCUUCUGUCAUCUUUCCCUUUCCUCUUCCUGGGAGGAUGAAUUCUUGCAAUAAGAUCUGUAUGAGAGAGAGGUAGAGUUGUCUUUGGGUUGGCAGAAGAAGGCGGAGAUCUGGAACAGCGUGCUCCCUGAGGCUACCUCCGUUUCUCUUGGAUUCGUCGACGGGUGAGCCGUCGGCACGAACUGGAGGAGCAGUUGGUACUGCUUUCUGUACGCGGCGUCCCGGGAGCCGAGGCAGCGGAGCACACAGGGCAAGCUGAGCGAGGCGAGGAUCCUUUUCUUUGGCGGAAGCUGCGUCUGGACAGAGGCAGCGGCCGUCAACUUCGGCGCAGGCAACGAUUGCUGGUCCUUGCCGUUGUCCGCCGUGAAGGGAUUAAUGGUCUGGUUCCCUCCCAAGAAAGGAGCUGCAGUUUGUCUAUCUAAGAAAAGAGGAGCAGCAAUCUGUCUAUUAGGACUAAUGCACAAAAAUGACGGACAAAACACAGAAGAUAGUGGCCUGCCAAUAAUCUCCUUCCCAUGUUAGUAAACAAGGCAAACAGCUCCACUUCACCACAAUCACUUGCAUCAACAUCACAAACUGGUAAGUAACCAAACAAUAUGGAUCAUGGAUGUUGUAUGGGAAACAGACGUAGAUGAUUUGCUGAGCACAUCAGCCCUGUGACUUUUAGCAGCAACCAUAUGGUCACACUUCCACUGUCGCUACAUCAGCGCGAGAGCAGGG